GACGAACGCUGGCGGCGUGCCUAAUACAUGCAAGUCGAGCGAAGUUUUUCUGGUGCUUGCACUAGAAAAACUUAGCGGCGAACGGGUGAGUAACACGUAAAGAACCUGCCUCAUAGACUGGGACAACUAUUGGAAACGAUAGCUAAUACCGGAUAACAGUAUUUCUCGCAUGAGAGAUAUUUAAAAGUUGGUUAUGCUAACACUAUGAGAUGGCUUUGCGGUGCAUUAGCUAGUUGGUGGGGUAAAGGCCCACCAAGGCGACGAUGCAUAGCCGACCUGAGAGGGUGAUCGGCCACACUGGGACUGAGACACGGCCCAGACUCCUACGGGAGGCAGCAGUAGGGAAUCUUCCGCAAUGGGCGAAAGCCUGACGGAGCAACGCCGCGUGAGUGAUGAAGGAUUUCGGUUCGUAAAGCUCUGUUGUUAGGGAAGAAUGGAUAUGUAGUAACUAUACAUGUAAGAGACGGUACCUAACCAGAAAGCCAUGGCUAACUACGUG
rnacentral:rRNA from 1 species